CGACCCAUUUAUGUUGCUCUUCCCACUUAUUUGUCAACGCCCACUUUCAAACACACUCCACCUAUGCAGUUACACAUGAAUCUGUGGAAUACCUGUGGCAGAGCUAGCAGGGUAGGUUGUAGAGGCUCGGUCAGCAGGGUAGGUUGUAGAGGCUUGGCCAGCAGGGUAGGUUGUAGAGGCUUGGCCAGCAGGGUAGGUUGUAGAGGCUUGGCCAGCAGGGUAGGUUGUAGAGGCUUGGCCAGCAGGGUAGGUUGUAGAGGCUUGGCCAGCAGGGUAGGUUGUAGAGGCUUGGCCAGCAGGGUAGGUUGUAGAGGCUUGGUCAGCAGGGUAGGUUGUAGAGUUGUUAGGUGAUUUGACAGUAGAGUAGACUACAGAGAUG